rnacentral:rRNA from 1 species
UGCCAGCAGCCGCGGUAAUACAGAGGGUGCGAGCGUUAAUCGGACUUACUGGGCGUAAAGGGCUAGUAGGUGGUUGUUUAAGUUGGAUGUGAAAUUCCCGGGCUCAACCUGGGCAGGUCAUCCAAAACUGGGCAACUAGAGUAUGGUAGAGGGUAGUGGAAUUUCCGGUGUAGCGGUGAAAUGCGUAGAUAUCGGAAGGAACACCAGUGGCGAAGGCGACUACCUGGCCCAUAACUGACACUGAGUGGCGAAAGCGUGGGUAGCGAACAGGAUUAGAUA